UGUAACCACCAUUAAUGGCAGAAGAAGAAGAAGAGA
rnacentral:sRNA from 1 species